rnacentral:rRNA from 1 species
AUACGUAGGGUGCAAGCGUUAAUCGGAAUUACUGGGCGUAAAGCGUGCGCAGGCGGUUUUGUAAGACAGUGGUGAAAUCCCCGGGCUCAACCUGGGAACUGCCAUUGUGACUGCAAGGCUGGAGUGCGGCAGAGGGGGAUGGAAUUCCGCGUGUAGCAGUGAAAUGCGUAGAUAUGCGGGGGAACACCGAUGGCGAAGGCAAUCCCCUGGGCCUGCACUGACGCUCAUGCACGAAAGCGUGGGGAGCAAACAGGAUUAGAUACCCUGGUAGUCCACGCCCUAAACGAUGUCAACUGGUUGUUGGGGAUUUAUUUUCUCAGUAACGAAGCUAACGCGUGAAGUUGACCGCCUGGGGAGUACGGCCGCAAGGUUAAAACUCAAAUGAAUUGGCGGGG